rnacentral:rRNA from 1 species
UACGUAGGGGGCGAGCGUUGUCCGGAAUCAUUGGGCGUAAAGCGCGUGUAGGCGGCUCGGUAAGUCUGCUGUGAAAGUCCAGGGCUCAACCCUGGGAUGCCGGUGGAUACUGUCGGGCUUGAGUGCGGAAGAGGCGAGUGGAAUUCCUGGUGUAGCGGUGAAAUGCGCAGAUAUCAGGAGGAACACCAAUUGCGAAGGCAGCUCGCUGGGACGUUACUGACGCUGAGACGCGAAAGCGUGGGGAGCAAACAGG